rnacentral:rRNA from 1 species
UACGUAGGGUGCGAGCGUUAAUCGGAAUUACUGGGCGUAAAGCGUGCGUAGGCGGUUCGUUAAGUGCGUCGUGAAAGCCCCGGGCUCAACCUGGGAAUGGCGAUGGAAACUGGCGGGCUGGAGUAUGGCAGAGGGGGGUGGAAUUCCGCGUGUAGCAGUGAAAUGCGUAGAGAUGCGGAGGAACACCGAUGGCGAAGGCAGCCCCCUGGGCCAAUACUGACGCUCAUGUGCGAAAGCGUGGGGAGCAAACAGG